AUGUGUAGAGCGUUAAUCCAGUCUGAUGUGCCUGUUGAUAAUAACAAGAAGAUCUGAAAGAUGAAGAUACCGCUUAAGAAUAAAAUCUUUGCAUGGUAUCUUCGUCGCGGAGUCAUUCUUACUAAAGAUAACCUUAUUAAGAGGAAUUGACAUGGAAGUCCGCAAUGUAUCUUUUGUCAUCAUGAGGAAACAAUAAAACAUUUAUUC
rnacentral:rRNA from 1 species